CUCACUGUUGGACUUCAUUGACAUCACCCUGAAAAAGGUGGAUUUUUGAGGAGCGUGAGAAGAAGAGCAUGAGAAGUGCUGAAUUACACUGUGUUGUUGCAGAUGAGCGUCCCUAACCACAGCAGUCCUUGAAGAAGAAAGAUGGUCUGAUAGGAACUGCUUAUUCAGGAACACAUUGCAAAAUCUGUGGGUGUCCUUCGGGAUCUGAGGGCCUCACUCCUACAACUGCAAGGAAUUGAAUUCUUCUAACAGUGUGAUGAGGUUGGAAGAAGACUCCAAGAUCCAGAAAGGAACACAGUCCCACCAACACCUGUGUUGUAACCUGGUGACACCCUGAAACAGAGAAUCCAGCUAAGCGAUGCCCAAAAUAUUCAUCCACAACGUGUUGUUUUAAGCUUCCAAGUUUCUAGUAAUUUGUUAUAAAGCAAUAGAAAAGUAAUAUAUCCUUUCCGAGGCUCAUCUUCAUUCCAAACGUUCCACAUUUCCUUCUGUUAUCAUUUAUUUUCUGUCGGAAUUACUUCCUCCAGCAAAAAAAUUUUUAAGGCAGUUCUGCUGCACUUGAAAAGUCUUAUGACACGUCCUUCUGGCCUUCAUGAUUUCUGCUGAAAAAUAUGCUGUCAUUUGAAUAGUUUUAAUGCUUGAGAUGAACCCGGUACCUCAGAUGGAAAUGCAGAAAUCACCCAUCUUCUGCGUCGCUCACGCUGGGAGCUGUAGACCAGAGCUGUUCCUAUUCGGACAUCUUGGCUCCUCCCGUGCUUUCUACAUCCCACAUGGAAGCAGCAAUGAGAUGUUUUAAAACGAGAUGUUUCAAAAUCACCAUCUCACUCUAGUUUGUCUACAAAGCCAUCUAUCAAGAACAUUAUAUGA
rnacentral:lncRNA from 10 species